rnacentral:lncRNA from 1 species
UUGGUCAUUGGUAGAGAAGACGUGUGUGUGUGUAUCUGAGCGUUUGUGUUUUUGGUCAUUGGUAGGAGAACGUGUGUGUGUGUACUGUAUGCGUGUGUGUUUGGUCAUUGGUAGAGAGAACUGUGGUGUGUUACUGUUUGCGUGUGUGUUUUGGUCAUUGGUAGAGAGAAGGGUGUUGUGUGUAACUGUAUGCGGUGUGUUUUGGUCAUUUGGUAGAGAGAACGUUUGUGUGUGUACUGUAUGCGUGUGUGUUUUGGUCAUUGGUAGAGAGAACGUGUGUGUGUGUACUGUAUGGCGUUGUGUUUUUGGUAAUUGGUUAGAUCAGAGAAACGUGUGUGUGUACUGCUAUGCGUGUGUGUUUUGGUCAUUGGUAGAGAGACACGUGUGUUGUGUACUGUAUGUGUGUGUGUUUUGGUCAUUGGAGA